rnacentral:tRNA from 1 species
GACCCGGUAGCUCAGUGGAUAGAGCAACGGACUUCGAAUCCGUUGGCCAGGCGUUCGAAUCGCCUCCGGGUCG